AUCCGUUUGGUAUACUUGCUUCUCUGAAUUCAGUAAAAGUAAAGUAACAAUAAAGUAAAUUUGGUGGGGUAAAAUAGACUUUAUCCAAAACAACUUUACACAUCAUUACUUUUUUAAGAUUUUUACGUAAUGGCAAAAUUUACGUUUUUGAAAUUUAUUGAAAAUGUUGAAUGGAAGGCAAGUCAAAGCAUAGUUUUUAAACUGCCAUCAUUUUUGAAGCGUCUGUCAAAGUUGAUUGCGUUAAUUACUCGUUAGCUGUAUGAGCAUGUUCAGAUAAAAAUUAAAGAAAUGUCGCAUUUUAUAAUUGAAGUACCGAAAGAAUCUCCGUUAAAAGGAUGCUGGAUCUAUAUUGUUGCCAAGAAUUGGAUAUUGGACCAUUCUUCUUCUCCCGCAUAUAAACAGAGCUUACUCGUCAAUGGAAAGGACCCAGAUAUUCAAACUUGGGAACGCAAUUCCUCAUUUAAAGUUAUCCAACAAUUUGACUAAUAUGAAGAAGCAACAGAAAAUCUGCCACGACCUAAGAAAGGCUUACCAAUUAUCAAUAGUGCAUCUGAAAUUGGAAGAGGUUAUCGAAAAAGGAUUGGAAAACAUAGAAAACUGCUUGGUGAAAUUUAAUCGACUGAGCAAGACAAUGAAAAAGAAAAUGAGAGUUUAACUCAAACUACAAAGUCAAUGUUGAAGAAGAAAACUACACCUUUUAAAAGAAAAUGUUCAUCUGAAGCUACAAAGCUUCCUCUGCCACCUUCUACGCUAAGAUGUAAAAGGAAGAAUGUCAGACCAAAUAGCAGUUAACAAAUAGCAGAAUCCACUACGAAAGUACCAUCAGUUACAACUGCAUCUCUUGCUGGGCAAUCUGGACUAUCAGAAAAUAAAAAAGGCAGAUGUAAUGCAGUAAACAAUUAGAGGAGCUGUUCGACAGAAGUGAUGCCUUUCCAUAAAAAUAAUGCAAUCCAAGAAAAGCUGAAUGAUGAUGAUGAUAUUCACAGUGACAGUAUCGAAGAAGUUGAUAUUGACGAACUAAAUGUCCCUAUUGGGCAGAAGUAUUCAGUUUUCUUACU